rnacentral:rRNA from 1 species
AAGAUUUUAAAGGUCGAACAGACCUUCCUUUUAUAAGCUGCUACACCUUGUAAUUAUACGGACAUCUUAAUCCAACAUCGAGGUCGCAACCCUUUUUAUCGAUUAGAACUCUCCAAAAAGAUUACG